rnacentral:sRNA from 1 species
AACCCGAACCAAGGCACCGCCUCAUCGCCAUGCUGCUGUUGUUGCCCAUUCGCUCUUUUCCGUCUCUGUAACCUAUUCCCACUACCAGUACCACCCCAUAUCACAACCCAAGCGUCAACCACACCAUCGUCCGGAAUGCAGCAACCGGGACAAACCUUCGCGUGUUGACCGACACGCACGUGCUGGCCCAGGAUGGCAGCAGUGUCGACUGUUGCAGCAGAGGCAAUGUGGGUGCCAGCACUAAUGGUAACAAGGGGACCGAUAAGAACAGAGUUUUCCACAACAGUGGCUAUGGUUGUUGCUGUAGGUGUUAUAGAAGUUGUCGUGUCUAUUGAUGGUGUUGUUGGUGUCAAGGGGGUUGGAGAAGUUUGAGGGCCACCAAUUAUGGAUUUUUCACCUAUAAUGCAACCACUUCCGAUUUUAAUAGGUCCUUCGAAGGAGAUGAAUUUGGUUCGCGGGUGUAUGACGGUGCCUGCACCGAUAGAAAUGGGAUGGGUGCCCUGGAAGCUCACUGAUUCCGAGAUAGUUGCGGAAGGAUGUGUUGUUAAGGGCGGUUUAUAGCUUGGGCUAGUAGGUUUUUGUGAGGAUGAAUGGCGGGAGGAAGAGUGCUUGUGAACUUGGUUCGCGGACAUUAUCGUUGUUGUAUAAUUGUUCGUAGGUUGACAACAAGAUGUUGAUUUAAGGUAC